GUUCAGAGGAGGAGAAGGAGAAAGAGCAAAAUAGGGUACACAUGGGGAAGAAGCGAGGAGAGAGAGGGAAAACUUUGAUUUUGAGGAUUGAUGCAGCGAAUGAAAUCAGAGAUGAUGUUUAUUGCCGUCACCGAUGCUUCUCCCUUGCUGUAUUUCUUUUUCAGUCUCAGAUUUUAAACACAUGAAAGUUUCAGAUUUUCAGUAGAUUGGAUGAUUUGUGAUUUGGGUCUCUCAAUUUCCAAACCGAGAUAAAUGAAAGCUUAGCCGAGAUGGGGUUUUACUACAUCCAACAUCACGCCCAAAAUGCAGCACCAACUGUUCUUAAUCUCAGCAACAACAUUUUGGAGAAGUUGCGUGAAACAUGCUUGCAUACCGAAGACUUGGAAGAUUCUAUAGCCAUGGUGAAAUCAAUGAAAAAGUGUGGUUCAUCUAUCAUCUAUAUCUGUUGUUAGACAUCUAUGAUGGUUGUCAAACAUUUUUAUAUUAUUUUGGUACUCGUUUGAUGUUUAUGCACUAUAAGAAUGUCAAAGAUUUCUAUUUGACAAGUUAAUAGUUGUUCAGGUAACUGUGUUGAGUUUGUUACAAGUUUUCUUUA